CCCGUGAUAGCUCAGUUGGUAGAGCGGAGGACUGUAGAUCCUUAGGUCGCUGGUUCGACUCCGGCUCGCGGGA
rnacentral:tRNA from 1 species